CCGCUGCAUUUUGCCAAGGAACAUUAUUCAUCCUUCUCUUGAUUCUGAAUAAUGUCACACACGAAGGAUUUGAACUUAUCCGAUCGCACGCCUUAGGUUGCGUUAGGGUCUCUGCAGUGACUAUCCUUCGCUUGGAUAUCUUUCCCAAAGUAAACGGGCCUAGAGUCUUACUUCAACUCCUCCCGAAUAGAUGCUCGCUUGAACCGUUGAUUACACCCAAGAUGAGGCAUGGAAGGAGUUGCUAGACCCGAAGAGUAUCCAAGCGGCAUCUCACGAUACUUCCGAAGAACAAAGAAAUCAAAGAAGGGAUUCUCGUUCCACCUCAA